CCACACCCUUCCCUUGGGGAGGCCGCGCCCUAUGCACGUGGCCACACGCUUCCGCUUAAAGAGAGCGUCUCCGCGCCGGGGGGCGGAGAAGCGGGACCCUCACAGCUUUGUAAUUGGAAGGCCACCGUAAUCUGUUCUGAACUUGCAUGAAAAUGGAAGAAACACCUGAUAUUACGCCUCUCCACGCUUCAGUUUCUUCAGCAGUACUCCAGAGACGAUGAUCUGUAAGUGGAAAAAACUGAAAUCUCUACAGCCAGUGUAAGCCUGCCAACCUUUGCCUCCAUUGAGUGCCCAGGAGAAUCAAAUGGAUCUGAUCCAGGCUUACAGUCAUAUCUUGAUUCAUCAUCUCUUCUCUUUCAAGAAAUAGUUUCCUACUACUAUUUAAGCAAAUCUUUGCAGAUUCGUGCUGGGUUAUCUCGUGUGCCAAGAGGAUUCUUGAUGCUGUGCAGUAAAUUGCUAAGCUCUGUGGUAGCCUUGAAAACCAACAGCCUGCAAUCGCAGUGAAAACAAGAAGCCUGGAAACCACAGGAGGGAGCAGAAUGGGGCUGGAGUUGCUUCAAAGCCUUAUUUCCAGCGAAAUGUCAUUAUUUGACCUUUCUGGUGGUUCCCUUAAAGACUUGCAGGACUGUCUUUAUUUUACCUGACUCAGAGCUCACUCAGUGCAAAAAGUCUUUCCCAAGGAACAUUAAAAAAAAAAUUUAGAUGGAAUUGUUUAACUUUGUGGCUACUGGAAACAUUAGAAAACAGUCGGGGCAAACAAUAGGCUAAGAAAAGCUAGGGAAUGAGAUGUCCAUAGGGAUUCUAAAAAACUCUGACAUAUUCCUGGGAAUCUAGAAGUCCAUGUACAUGCAUAGGGCUGUGCACAUGAUCAGGAAAAACAUAAGAAGGCCCUAAGUUCUGUCUUCUGGCUGACCUUCAGGCUCUGUGAAAAUAGGAAAUUAAAACUCGGGUAUAGUUGUCAGUUGCCUGGCUGAGCACUGAAGGAAUGCUCCAACAUGCUCACAGAGACCCUUGGCAAAAACUGGGAGACUUCCUGGUUCUGGCAUUUAAGGAAGUCUCUCUCCAAUCCUUAGCUGACCACUAAGCUAACUGAGUAGAGACUUCAGUGGUCACAUAUGUCAAGGAAUACAGACUUUAUACCUUUAGGAAAAGUCACUAAACAAACAACAAAAACAACAAGUAGCAACAAUAAACACUGAGGCUGGGGUGAAGAAUUUGACUUCCAGAGAUGCCAUUUUAUAUUAUUCAAAAUGUCCAGUUUUCAAGAAAAAAAUGACAAGACAUGCUGAGUAACAUUAAAGUAUGACCCCUAUACAUGGGAAAAAGCCAAGCAAUCAAUAGAAAUAGAAAUUGUCCCUGAGAAAGCCCAGAUGUUGAACUUAGUAGACAAAACUUUAGCUAUUUUAGGUAUGUUCAAAGAACUAAAGUAAACCAUGUCUACAGAACUAAAGGAAAGUAUGAAAAAGAUGUCUUACCAAAUAAAAAAUAGAAAUUAUAGAAAAGAACCAAGUAGAAGAAGUUUUGUAGUUGAAUAAUAACUGAAAUCAAAAUUUACUACAGAGGCUCAACUGUAGAUUUCAGUAGAUAGAAGAAAGAAUCAGUGAACCUGAAAACAGUUUAUUGAGAUUAUCCAGUCAGAGUCAUAUAAAGAAAAAUGAAGCAGAAAAUGAACAGGCUCAGAGAUGUACAGGACAUCAUAAAACAUACCAAUGCAUGCAUGAUGGGAGUCUCAGAAGAGAAGAAGAGAGAAAUAGGGGUAGAAAGAAUAUUUCAAAAAAUAAUGGCUGAAAAUGUGCCAAAUUUGAUGAAAAACAUUAAUCUCCACAUCCAAGAAGCUCAAUGAAUUCCCCUAGACACAUCAUAAUCAAACUGUUGAAAGCUAAAGACAAAGAGAGAAUCCUGAAUGCGAAGAGAAGAGUGAAUCCUGAAUGCAAAGAGAAGAGACUCAUCAUAUCCAAAGGAUGAGAUUUUUCAUCAAAAACCAUAAAGCCCUCUUGGGUGCUGACUGGAUCUGGUGGUAUAUAUCUAAAGUGACUUGACAGUCCUCCUGUUCUGGCACCAGUGAAGAAGGCUCACACCUCCUCUCCUGAUGCCUGAGAAGGCAAAUAUUCAACUUCACACAGUGAUUUGGAAAGAAUGUGACUGACAGAUUCUUAAGCAUGUUUAGGGCUUAUCAGGUUUCACUGCAAUAUACCAUAUAGGUUAGUUCUACAUAUAGGUUAGUUUUCUUCCUGAAAACUGUAAUUUUAUUUUCAUUCCACAAGUAUAAGGGACAUAAUAAUGAAAAAAUCAAAAAAGGUCCUUGCUUUCAUAGAGCUUAUAACCUAGUGACCAGUGAUACUAUUACCACAAAUUUAGUUAAACUUACAGUUUCGCCUCUAAAGCCUUUUUCACCUCUGGGUCCCUGAAAGAAAAAUAAAAUGUUAGUUUAGUGUUGUUGAUAGUUAUUUAUCAAAUGUAGUUGAGGCUGUAUCCAGAAACAUGAUAAUUUCUGUUGGGUUUUUUCCUAUCUAGCAAGACCUGUUUAGUUAAAGUUAUAUAAAUUCUGAUUUCCUAAGUUAAAGCAAAACAAAUACAAUCUACUGACUCACCAUGUCUGUUUUGCUAUGCCUAGUUCCACCUUAAAGUGAGGGUUAUGCUACUUAUUCAUUCAGUUAAGUCAAAACAGCUGAUCUGACAAUCAAAGGCAAAAUAAUUUAGAAAGAAAAUUAAGAAAGUUAAAUUCUUCUAAUAUUUGUUUCUCUCAGCCUUUGAAAAACCCUGCUUCCAGGGUGGUUUCCUCCUUCUCUUUUAUCUUCUUUUUUUCUUUCUUUUCUUCUUUUUUAUCUUCUUUUUAUCUUCUUUCUUUUUUUAUAGCUCCUUCUGAGCUAUAUCCCAUAAAUUUUGAUACGUUGUGUAUACAGUUUCAGUCGAUUCAAAAUAUUUUCUAACUUUCUUUGAGACACUCUGGUCCUUGAAUUAUUUAGAAGUGUGAGGUUUAAUUUUCAAGUGUUUGGGGAUUUUCCUAUUAUCUUUCUAGUUUAUUGAUUCUUAGUUUAAUUCUGUUAUGGCCAGAGAAUAUACCUUACAUGACUUCUGUUAUUUUAAGUUUAGUAAAAUUUGUUUUAUGAUCUAAAAUAUGGUUUAUUUCAGUGAAUGUUCCAUGUGCACUUGAAGACAAUGUGAACUCUGCUGUUGCUGGAUGUCACUACUGUUAUUCCUGUUAAUAUUUUCAUGUUCCUUGUGGAAAUUGUGUAUUUUUUUAUUAAAAAAUGAGAUAAUACUACUCAUCUUUUCUGUAACCUGAAUUUGCACCAAAAUAUUAAUGCUUUUCUAUAUCAAUCUACAAUUCCCACCUAACCAUAAUGCUUACCAGUAUUUUAAAAAGUAUGAUAUUUUAAAUGAAUUGCCUAUUAAAUUUUUUUCUAAUUUUUGUCAUGAUAAACAGCACUGUGAUAAAUAUCCUUGCACUCUUAAAAAUUUUUGAUAAAAAUUGUCCUCCAGAAAGUUUGUUUGAAAUUGCAUUCACACUUGCAAUAUAUGGGAAUGCAUGUUUCUUCUGAUACAUGCUAUGAUGUACUAUCACUUUUUGUUAAUCUUGCAGGCUAAAAAUACUGUUUCAUUAUUAUUCACUAUAUUACUUCUUUUGUGUUUCCUAUCUUGUCCUUAAUUCAUUUCAAACUACUAUAUCAACUUUAAAAAGCUGAUUUUUAAGAUAUCUUUACAGAACUUUUUUUAUGCCCUCCUCCACCUCCAAUCCAGUAUUAACAACGUGGUACAUAUCGCUUCAUACUUUUUUUCUAAUCAGAUAUUGACACGUGUAUUUACAUGUGUAUGGGGUGAUUGGUCAUGUUUUAUAAUGUUGAUAUUAUAUACUCUUCUAUGCAUCACAUUUUUCAUGCUUAAUAAUACAUCAUGAAACAACUGCAAGUCAGCCAAACUAGAUACAAAUAAUUAUUUUUAAUAGUUGCAUUAAUAUUCCACAAAGUGGAUAGAUCAGAGUUUACUCAACCAUUCCUCUACAGAUGAGCAUUCAUGUGAUUUCAUACUUUUUUUUUUUUUUUGCCAUUACAAACAGUGCUGUGAAAAAAAGCUUUGUAAAAUUUCCCUAGUGUAUUGGGUACUUUUAUUUAUAUGGGACAAAUUCCUCACAGUGGAACUGCUUGGUCAUAGGGUAUAUGUACAUAUAUUUUAACAAAUACCUUUCCAUAAAGGCUGUAAUUCAGAUUUCUAUUAGUGAUAAACAAAAAUACCUUUCUUCCUACAGCCCUUUCUGAGAGGUUAGAUGUAAUAUCUCAUUAUUACCUUAAUUUGCAUUUCUCUGACUAAAAGUUAGAAGACUGGUUUUUCAAAUAAUUACUGACCUUUUGGAUUUAUUCUUCAAUUCUCUACUAAAUUUUCUUUUUCAUACCAAUUUGUAAAGCUCUUUAUA